CCUUCAAUAGCUCAUUUGGUAGAGCGGAGGACUGCAGCAGGUAACUGGCAAUCCUUAGGUCACUGGUUCAACCCGAAUGAAAUA